CAUUGUUGUCUAAUUACCUAUUAUUAUGACACCUGUGUGUAGUAUCUACUUUUUUUAGUGUGUUUCACAUAUAGUAUUCUGCAGUAUUUCUAAAAUACAAAAAUACACACCAAUAAAGUAUUUUGAUACAAAAUACAGAGCC